UGCUAGGUGUGACGGCCUGCUAGGUGUGACGGCCUUCAAGGUGUGACUGCCCACUUUUGUCUUCUUUCAGUUCCCUCAGGUCCCCUUAAAAUAGACAAUUGCCAGACAAAUAUAGAUGACGAGUAGCGAUAAGCGAGACUUAAGAGAGGCAACAAGCAGCAGUCCGACAGCCAAAAGAUCAUUAACAAAGUAAAUGUGCAGAUGUGCUAAUAAUAACGAAUUAAUAUUUGCUGUUGCCUUUUGGGGGCGGCUCAUAUGUUCUAUUAAACCUCCUCUAAAAAAAAAAAA